rnacentral:rRNA from 1 species
GACGGAGGAUGCAAGCGUUAUCCGGAAUUAUUGGGCGUAAAGCGUCCGCAGGCGGCUAAUUAAGUCUGCUGUCAAAGCCCACAGCUUAACUGUGGAUCGGCGGUGGAAACUGGUUAGCUUGAGUGCGGUAGGGGUAGAGGGAAUUCCCGGUGUAGCGGUGAAAUGCGUAGAUAUCGGGAAGAACACCAGUGGCGAAGGCGCUCUACUGGGCCGCAACUGACGCUGAGGGACGAAAGCUAGGGGAGCGAAAGGGAUUAGAUACCCCUGUAGUCCUAGCUGUAAACGAUGGACACUAGGUGUUGGACGUAUCGACCCGUUCAGUACCGUAGCUAACGCGUUAAGUGUCCCGCCUGGGGAGUACGCACGCAAGUGUGAA